AGGGCGUACGGGGGAUGCCUAGGCUUCAAGAGGCGAAGAAAGACGUGGUAAGCUGCGAAAAGCUGCGGGGAUUUGCACACAAGAGUUGAUCCGCAGAUGUCUGAAUGGGGCAACCCACUAUACGAAGAGUGUAGUAUUCUUUUAGGUUACUAGAAGAAGGCGAACCUUCCGAACUGAAACAUCUAAGUAGGAAGAGGAAAAGAAAUCAAAAGAGAUUCCGAGAGUAGUGGCGAGCGAAAUUGGAAGAGCCCAAAAGUUUUUAUAUUUUUAGUAGAAUUAGCUGGGAAGCUAACCCGUAGGAGGUGAGAGGCCUGUAUACGAAAAGGAUAUAAAGAUGAACAAAAGAGUAGGGCGGGACACGAGAAAUCCUGUUUGAACAAGGGGGGACCAUCCUCCAAGGCUAAAUACUCCUUGAAGACCGAUAGCGAACAAGUACCGUGAGGGAAAGGUGAAAAGUAUCUCAAGAAGAGAGGUGAAAUAGAACCUGAAACCGUACGCUUACAAGCGGUCGGAGCAUCUAUAAGAUGUGACGGCGUGCCUUUUGCAUAAUGAGCCUACGAGUUAAUGUCACUAGCAAGGUUAAGCACUUCAGGUGCGGAGCCGAAGCGAAAGCGAGUCUGAAUAGGGCGGUUUAGUUAGUGGUAUUAGACGCGAAACCUAGUGAUCUACCCAUGGGCAGGUUGAAGCUUUGGUAACACAAAGUGGAGGACCGAACCGGUUGACGUUGAAAAGUCUUCGGAUGACCUGUGGGUAGGGGUGAAAGGCUAAUCAAACUAGGAGAUAGCUCGUACUCCCCGAAAUGCAUUUAGGUGCAGCGUUAGUUUGAGUAUAUUAGAGGUAGAGCUACUGAUAGGAUGCGGGGGUUUCACCGCCUACCAAGUCCUGACAAACUCCGAAUGCUAAUAUAUGUUGACUAGCAGUGAGGGCAUGGGUGCUAAGGUCCAUGUCCGAGAGGGAAACAACCCAGAGCAACCGCUAAGGUCCCCAAAUGUAUACUAAGUUGAUCAAACGAGGUUCGAUUGCCCAGACAGCUAGGAUGUUGGCUUGGAAGCAGCCAUUCAUUUAAAGAGUGCGUAACAGCUCACUAGUCGAGCGAUCGAGCAUGGAUAAUAAUCGGGCAUCAAGUAUACUACCGAAGCGAUGCACUUUUAUACUUACGGGUAUAAAAUUGGUAGGGGAGCAUUCUGUUUGCGGCGAAGGAGUCUGGCGAUGGAUUUUGGAGCGAACAGAAAAGAAAAUGUAGGCAUAAGUAACGAGAAUGGGGGUUAGAUUCCCCCACGCCGUAAAUCUAAGGUUUCCUCAGCGAUGCAAAACAACUGAGGGUUAGUCGGGACCUAAGGCGCAGCCGAAAGGCGAGAGUCGAUGGAAAAUCGGUUAAUAUUCCGAUACUUGUUAUAAAUUCGAUUGGAGUGACAAAGUAGUGAAACUGCCGCGUACGGACGGAAGUAGUACGUUUAAGGUCAAAGGUAAAUCUUUAAUAGUAAAAUGCGUUAGAGAUGCUGAAGGCUGAAAGUACCACGAGGCUUCGGCUGGUUGGAUAGCGCAGGUAAUGGCUUUCAAGAAAAACUUCUAAGGCUUAAGUUUAUAACAACUCGUACCAAAACCGACACAGGUGGAUAAGGAGAGUAUCCUAAGGCGCUCGAGAGAAUCAUGGUUAAGGAACUAGGCAAAAUAGACCUGUAACUUCGGGAGAAAGGUCGCUUAUCUAGCGAUAGGUAAGCCGCAGCGAAGAGGCCCAGGCGACUGUUUAACAAAAACACAGGACUCUGCAAAAUCGAAAGAUGAAGUAUAGGGUCUGACACCUGCCCGGUGCUGGAAGGUUAAGAGAGGUUGUUAGAAAUAUUUAUAUUUCGAAGCAAUUAAUUGAAGCCCCAGUAAACGGCGGCCGUAACAAUAACGGUCCUAAGGUAGCGAAAUUCCUUGUCGGGUAAGUUCCGACCUGCACGAAUGGUGUAACGAUCUGGGCACUGUCUCAACCAUGAUCUCGGUGAAAUUGUAGUAUCGGUGAAGAUGCCGAUUACCCGCAAUGGGACGAAAAGACCCUGUGAACCUUUACUAUAGCUUCGUAUUGACUUUUGGUAAUUAAUGUGUAGGAUAGGUGGGAGACGUUGAAUUGUCCUCGUUAGGGGAUAAGGAGUCGCCGUUGAAAUACCACCCUUUAAUUACUGGGAGCCUAACUUUGAUUAAAUUUGAAGGACAUUGCGUGGUGGGUAGUUUGACUGGGGUGGUCGCCUCCAAAAGAGUAACGGAGGCUUUCAAAGGUACCCUCAGCACGCUUGGUAACCGUGCGUAGAGUGUAAUGGCAUAAGGGUGCUUGACUGCGAGACCAACAAGUCGAGCAGGUGCGAAAGCAGGACAUAGUGAUCCGGUGGUUCCGUAUGGAAGGGCCAUCGCUCAAAGGAUAAAAGGUACUCCGGGGAUAACAGGCUAGUCUCCCCCAAGAGCUCACAUCGACGGGGAGGUUCGGCACCUCGAUGUCGGCUCGUCACAUCCUGGGGCUGGAGAAGGUCCCAAGGGUUGGGCUGUUCGCCCAUUAAAGUGGCACGCGAGCUGGGUUCAGAACGUCGUGAGACAGUUCGGUCUCUAUCUAUUGCGGGCGUUAGAAUUUUGAGCGGAGUUGACUCUAGUACGAGAGGACCGAGUUGAACAAACCUCUGGUGUAUCAGUUGUACCGCCAGGUGCACCGCUGAGUAGCUAAGUUUGGAAGAGAUAAGCACUGAAAGCAUAUAAGUGCGAAACUCGCCGCAAGAAUAGAAUUCU
rnacentral:rRNA from 1 species